UCAGGUAGGACUACCCGCUGAA
rnacentral:rRNA from 3 species